rnacentral:misc_RNA from 1 species
GAUGAAGAACGUAGCGAAAUGCGAUAAGUAAUGUGAAUUGCAGAAUUCAGUGAAUCAUCGAAUCUUUGAACGCACAUUGCGCCCCCUGGUAUUACGGGGGGCAUGCCUGUUCGAGCGUCAUUUCACCACUCAAGCCUCGCUUGGUAUUGGGCAACGCGGUCCGCCGCGUGCCUCAAAUCGACCGGCUGGGUCUUCUGUCCCCUAAGCGUUGUGGAAACUAUUCGCUAAAGGGUGUUCGGGAGGCUACGCCGUAAAACAACCCCAUUUCUAAGGUUGACCUCGGAUCAGGUAGGGAUACCCGCUGAACUUAAGCAUAUCAAUAAGCGGAGGA